UCGCGCAUCAGCCAUGGCGCGGUGAAUACGUUCCCGGGCCUUGUACACACCGCCCGUCAAGCCAUGGGAGCCGGGGGCGCCUGAAGUCCGGGACCGCGAGGACCGGCCUAGGGCGAAACUGGUGACUGGGGCUAAGUCGUAACAAGGUACC
rnacentral:rRNA from 1 species